rnacentral:rRNA from 1 species
AAAUUGAAGAGUUUGAUCAUGGCUCAGAUUGAACGCUGGCGGCAGGCCUAACACAUGCAAGUCGAACGGUAACAGGAAGCAGCUUGCUGCUUCGCUGACGAGUGGCGGACGGGUGAGUAAUGUCUGGGAAACUGCCUGAUGGAGGGGGAUAACUACUGGAAACGGUGGCUAAUACCGCAUAACGUCGCAAGACCAAAGAGGGGGACCUUCGGGCCUCUUGCCAUCAGAUGUGCCCAGAUGGGAUUAGCUAGUUGGUGAGGUAACGGCUCACCAAGGCGACGAUCCCUAGCUGGUCUGAGAGGAUGACCAGCCACACUGGAACUGAGACACGGUCCAGACUCCUACGGGAGGCAGCAGUGGGGAAUAUUGCACAAUGGG